rnacentral:rRNA from 1 species
AUGAACGCUAGCUACAGGCUUAACACAUGCAAGUCGAGGGGCAUCAGGAAGAAAGCUUGCUUUCUUUGCUGGCGACCGGCGCACGGGUGAGUAACACGUAUCCAACCUGCCCUUUACUCGGGGAUAGCCUUUCGAAAGAAAGAUUAAUACCCGAUAGUAUAAUGAUUCCGCAUGGUUUGAUUAUUAAAGGAUUCCGGUAAAGGAUGGGGAUGCGUUCCAUUAGGUUGUUGGUGAGGUAACGGCUCACCAAGCCUUCGAUGGAUAGGGGUUCUGAGAGGAAGGUCCCCCACAUUGGAACUGAGACACGGUCCAAACUCCUACGGGAGGCAGCAGUGAGGAAUAUUGGUCAAUGGGCGAUGGCCUGAACCAGCCAAGUAGCGUGAAGGAUGACUGCCCUAUGGGUUGUAAACUUCUUUUAUAUUAGAAUAAAGUGCAGUAUGUAUACUGUUUUGUAUGUAUAAUAUGAAUAAGGAUCGGCUAACUCCGUGCCAGCAGCCGCGGUAAUACGGAGGAUCCGAGCGUUAUCCGGAUUUAUUGGGUUUAAAGGGAGCGUAGGUGGACUGGUAAGUCAGUUGUGAAAGUUUGCGGCUCAACCGUAAAAUUGCAGUUGAUACUGUCAGUCUUGAGUACAGUAGAGGUGGGCGGAAUUCGUGGUGUAGCGGUGAAAUGCUUAGAUAUCACGAAGAACUCCGAUUGCGAAGGCAGCUCACUGGACUGCAACUGACACUGAUGCUCGAAAGUGUGGGUAUCAAACAGGAUUAGAUACCCUGGUAGUCCACACAGUAAACGAUGAAUACUCGCUGUUUGCGAUAUGCAGUAAGCGGCCAAGCGAAAGCAUUAAGUAUUCCACCUGGGGAGUACGCCGGCAACGGUGAAACUCAAAGGAAUUGACGGGGGCCCGCACAAGCGGAGGAACAUGUGGUUUAAUUCGAUGAUACGCGAGGAACCUUACCCGGGCUUAAAUUGCAGUGGAAUGAUGUGGAAACAUGUCAGUGAGCAAUCACCGCUGUGAAGGUGCUGCAUGGUUGUCGUCAGCUCGUGCCGUGAGGUGUCGGCUUAAGUGCCAUAACGAGCGCAACCCUUAUCUUUAGUUACUAACAGGUCAUGCUGAGGACUCUAGAGAGACUGCCGUCGUAAGAUGUGAGGAAGGUGGGGAUGACGUCAAAUCAGCACGGCCCUUACGUCCGGGGCUACACACGUGUUACAAUGGGGGGUACAGAAGGCAGCUACCUGGUGACAGGAUGCUAAUCCCAAAAGCCUCUCUCAGUUCGGAUCGAAGUCUGCAACCCGACUUCGUGAAGCUGGAUUCGCUAGUAAUCGCGCAUCAGCCACGGCGCGGUGAAUACGUUCCCGGGCCUUGUACACACCGCCCGUCAAGCCAUGGGAGCCGGGGGUACCUGAAGUACGUAACCGCAAGGAGCGUCCUAGGGUAAAACUGGUGACUGGGGCU